AUCUUGGUUCAGAUUGAAUGCUGACGGCGUGGAUGAGGCAUGCAAGUCGUACGAAGCUGCAGGGUAACUUGUAGCUUAGUGGCGAAAGGGUUAGUAAUACAUAGGUAAUCUGCCUUUAACUCUGGAAUAACGAUUGGAAACGAUCGCUAAUACCGGAUGAGGUGGUGUAAGGCAUCUUACACUUACCAAAGUGGGGGACUCAGUAAUGGGCCUUGCGGUUAGAGAAGAGUCUAUGAGAUAUCAGCUUGUUGGUGUGGUAAAGGCGCACCAAGGCUAAGACGUCUAGGCGGAUUGAGAGAUUGACCGCCAACACUGGGACUGAGACACUGCCCAGACUCCUACGGGAGGCUGCAGUCGAGAAUCUUUCGCAAUGGGCGAAAGCCUGACGAAGCGACGCCGUGUGAACGAUGAAGGCCUUAGGGUUGUAAAGUUCUUUCGCCUGGGAACAAGAGAAAUAGUUUAAUAAACUAUUGAUUUGAGGGUACUAGGUAAAGAAGCACCGGCUAACUCCGUGCCAGCAGCCG
rnacentral:rRNA from 1 species